CGGACCAAGGAGUCUAACACGUGCGCGAGUCGGGGGCUCGCACGAAAGCCGCCGUGGCGCAAUGAAGGUGAAGGCCGGCGCGCUCGCCGGCCGAGGUGGGAUCCCGAGGCCUCUCCAGUCCGCCGAGGGCGCACCACCGGCCCGUCUCGCCCGCCGCGCCGGGGAGGUGGAGCACGAGCGCACGUGUUAGGACCCGAAAGAUGGUGAACUAUGCCU
rnacentral:rRNA from 1 species